UACGUAGGGGGCAAGCGUUGUCCGGAUUUAUUGGGCGUAAAGAGCGUGUAGGCGGCCAGACAGGUCCGUUGUGAAAACUCGAGGCUCAACCUCGAGAUGUCGAUGGAAACCGUCUGGCUAGAGUCCGGAAGAGGAGUGUGGAAUUCCUGGUGUAGCGGUGAAAUGCGUAGAUAUCGGAAAGAACAUCAGUGGCGAAGGCGGCUUCCUGGACUCAUACUGACGCUGAGGCACGAAAGCAUGGGGAGCAAACAGG
rnacentral:rRNA from 1 species